rnacentral:pre_miRNA from 1 species
GAAAACCUGAAAACUACCCUUAAAUCGAAAAAUAGACGUCAGAGACUCGUUCAUGUCACCAUGAGUAAAAUUUUUAUCAUGAGUAAAAUUUUUAUCAUGAGUAAAUUUACGAGUAAAAAUUUUACUCAUGAUAACAUGGACGAAUAUCGGACGUUCAUUUUUUUAAUACAACGAUAGUUUUUAGAUUUUU